CUCCCAAACCCAUGUGAACAUACCUAUUGUUGCUUCGGCGGGAUCGCCCCAGGCGCCUCGUGUGCCCUGGAUCCGGCGCCCGCCUAGGAACCUUAACUCUUGUUUUAUUUUGGAAUCUUCUGAGUAGUUUUUACAAAUAAAUAAAAACUUUCAACAACGGAUCUCUUGGUUCUGGCAUCGAUGAAGAACGCAGCGAAAUGCGAUAAGUAAUGUGAAUUGCAGAAUUCAGUGAAUCAUCGAAUCUUUGAACGCACAUUGCGCCCGCCAGUAUUCUGGCGGGCAUGCCUGUCUGAGCGUCAUUUCAACCCUCAUGCCCCUAGGGCGUGGUGUUGGGGAUCGGCCAAAGCCCGCGAGGGACGGCCGGCCCCUAAAUCUAGUGGCGGACCCGUCGUGGCCUCCUCUGCGAAGUAGUAAUAUUCCGCAUCGGAGAGCGACGAGCCCCUGCCGUUAAACCCCCAACUUUCUAAGGUUGACCUCAGAUCAGGUAGGAAUACCCGCUGAACUUAAGCAUAUCAAUAAGCGGAGGAA
rnacentral:rRNA from 1 species